CUUUUAGAAAUGCAUAUGCUGCACCCUUCUCGACUAGUCCUAAGACUUGGAAAUUCCAUAUUUUAAAGAUGCUUUGCUGAAAUGGAAAAAAUCAGGAAACUGGUUUUGGUAAAUACAUAUUUUCCCCCUAAUGACAGUCUCGCAUAAGGAGUAACAACACACUGUCCCCAUAGUCUGUUUCAGCAGCACUCUUAGCCUCCUCCUUCAUCCGGGUCUGUGAAAACUCUGGAGACCUUAGGACUACAGUGUAUUAAAAUGACUGCCCCCCAACUCUCUUCCCUCCCACUCUGACAUGGAUCCCCUUGCAUCUUGUCCUUGACGAUUCUGAUUCCGCCUUGGAUCAGCCAGUGUCAGUGGCAUACUAGCCAGGGUCUGGUGUCAG
rnacentral:lncRNA from 1 species